rnacentral:lncRNA from 1 species
UGUAUUUUUGGAUUUUCUCGAAAUCCGUGCAUCAAACUCAAAAUCCAUCAGCGCCAGUAGUUCCAGAAUAGCUGAACCGGUCGAAACGAGCUAUUGGAUCGCUAUGAACGGAGUCCGAUACGCGUAGAAAGCCAACUCUACUCCGUGGCUUCACCGAAAAACCGGAGUUACUAUUCACUUAAGUGAAAACUAAUAAUCGCGUAACUUCUCCGUUUUAGCUCAUUUUCUCCUGAAACUUGACGAGUGCUUAUAUAGUUAAAUUACACACAUAAACAUCAUCAACAGAGAGUUUAGUAGCACUGUAAAA